GCUGAACGAAGAGACCUCACCAUAAACU
rnacentral:piRNA from 1 species